rnacentral:rRNA from 1 species
UACGGGGGGGGCAAGCGUUGUUCGGAAUUACUGGGCGUAAAGGGCUCGUAGGCGGCCAACUAAGUCAGACGUGAAAUCCCCAGGCUUAACCUGGGAACUGCGUCUGAUACUGGAUGGCUUGAAUUCGGGAGAGGGAUGCAGAAUUCCAGGUGUAGCGGUGAAAUGCGUAGAUAUCUGGAGGAAUACCGGUGGCGAAGGCGGCUCUCUGGACCACAACUGACGCUGAGACGCGAAAGCGUGGGGAGCGAACAGG